GGUAGCCAAAGAUCCGAGCCGGGUUCAGCGUCGGGUUCGUGAUUACGCGCACGUCACCGCCACCGGGAGCCCAGGUGUCGUAAACGCCGCCAAAGAACAUGGCCUUGAACACCAGCAGCAACGCACCGCAACCCAGCAGGAUCAGGUGAUAGCCGAUGAUGUUGGUCAUUUGGUUCUUGUCCUUCCA
rnacentral:antisense_RNA from 1 species